rnacentral:rRNA from 1 species
GAUGAACGCUGGCGGCGUGCCUAACACAUGCAAGUCGAGCGAAGCGCUGUUUUCAGAAUCUUCGGAGGAAGAGGACAGUGACUGAGCGGCGGACGGGUGAGUAACGCGUGGGCAACCUGCCUCAUACAGGGGGAUAACAGUUAGAAAUGACUGCUAAUACCGCAUAAGCGCACAGGACCGCAUGGUGUAGUGUGAAAAACUCCGGUGGUAUGAGAUGGACCCGCGUCUGAUUAGGUAGUUGGUGGGGUAAAGGCCUACCAAGCCGACGAUCAGUAGCCGACCUGAGAGGGUGACCGGCCACAUUGGGACUGAGACACGGCCCAAACUCCUACGGGAGGCAGCAGUGGGGAAUAUUGCACAAUGGGGGAAACCCUGAUGCAGCGACGCCGCGUGAAGGAAGAAGUAUUUCGGUAUGUAAACUUCUAUCAGCAGGGAAGAAGAUGACGGUACCUGAGUAAGAAGCACCGGCUAAAUACGUGCCAGCAGCCGCGGUAAUACGUAUGGUGCAAGCGUUAUCCGGAUUUACUGGGUGUAAAGGGAGCGUAGACGGAUAGGCAAGUCUGGAGUGAAAACCCAGGGCUCAACCCUGGGACUGCUUUGGAAACUGCAGAUCUGGAGUGCCGGAGAGGUAAGCGGAAUUCCUAGUGUAGCGGUGAAAUGCGUAGAUAUUAGGAGGAACACCAGUGGCGAAGGCGGCUUACUGGACGGUGACUGACGUUGAGGCUCGAAAGCGUGGGGAGCAAACAGG